CUUUUUUAAAAAAAGAGGGGGGAAAUCCCAGUGGUGGGCAGCCUGGCACGCACACACUCGCCCUCAUACCCCGACAAAAGCAGAUGCACUUUGACUUCUGACAGCUCUACCUCAAGCGCCGGAGAACUCAGCGGCGCUUUCCUCGCAACCCGAGCUCGGCAAGUCGUCUUCUUCUUCUUCUCCGUUUUUAUUUAUUUAUUUCCGUUCCCGCCGCCGUUCUCGCUGACCUUCACUCCUCCGCGGGCUCUGAGCAGAAGGGUCGCAUUCUCUCCCGCCUGAGACUUCUUUUCCUCGCCCCGGGAGCUCAGGCGGCGCCGCUCCAGCCCGGGGCCCCAGGACUCCCCGGCUGCACACUUCACUGAGACACCCCCCAGGCCCCGAUCAGCCUCGUUUCCUCCACCCUACUUUGAUUUCCUGGUGCGAGUUUUGGCUUGCACGGCCGAGUGUGUGUCCUCUUUUUGGAGAGACUGGGGAGCUCGUGCCGGUUGUCUUCAGGAGUCAUCCCCUGGGCUCUACUUUGCCCCUCUCUCUCUCUGGGCCUCAUCAGACCAAACCAAAGACCAUGGUUCACUGUGCCGGCUGCAAAAGGCCCAUCCUGGACCGCUUUCUCUUGAACGUGCUGGACAGGGCCUGGCACGUCAAGUGCGUCCAGUGCUGUGAAUGUAAAUGCAACCUGACCGAGAAGUGCUUCUCCAGGGAAGGCAAACUGUACUGCAAGAACGACUUCUUCCGGUGUUUCGGUACCAAAUGCGCAGGCUGCGCGCAGGGCAUCUCCCCUAGCGACCUGGUGCGGAGAGCGCGGAGCAAAGUGUUUCACCUGAACUGCUUCACCUGCAUGAUGUGUAACAAGCAGCUCUCCACUGGCGAGGAACUCUACAUCAUCGACGAGAAUAAGUUCGUCUGCAAAGAGGAUUACCUAAGUAACAGCAGUGUUGCCAAAGAGAACAGCCUUCACUCGGACCCGUCGCAGGACGACGCCAAGGACUCGGAGAGCGCCAACGUGUCGGACAAGGAAGGGGGUAGCAACGAGAAUGACGACCAGAACCUGGGCGCCAAGCGGCGGGGACCGCGCACCACCAUCAAAGCCAAGCAGCUGGAGACGCUGAAGGCCGCCUUCGCUGCUACACCCAAGCCCACCCGCCACAUCCGCGAGCAGCUGGCGCAGGAGACCGGCCUCAACAUGCGCGUCAUUCAGGUCAGGCCCCGGCGCGCCUCUCCAUCCCAUAGAGGCCCACACUGCCACUUUGGGCACCCAGGCCGAGCCGGGAGAGCCCAGAAUCCAGAGAGAAGUGAGAGAUGGAGUCCAGAGGUGGGGUGCCUAGACACACCCCGAGCCUGCGGGACCUAUGAAAUGCCUGAUGCCUUCGAGCAUCUAGAAAGUCCUCUUCCCAGCCCAACAGAGGUGAUCGUGGCAGUGGAGGGGGAGGGACGGGAGUUCAGCCAGAGGCUGGAGGAGGAGAACUGUUGAACACUCUGGAGAGAGUGGGGAGCCCUCUUUCUGCACAUACCCCACCCCACCUCGGGUUCGGAAGGGUCAGAGAAGUCUCAGUGUCCCCCAGAGUCAAUCAGUCCCUCUGCCUUCUGCACAAAGUGAACUCUUCCUAAGUCUGCAACUCCAACUUUGUGAUCGCUUGCUCCAAUUAGACAAGCCCCAGAUCAGGGACUUCCCCUCCAAAGAGAGGUGGUUCCGCCGGGAGUCAGCUCUGCUUCCAGCGGGUUGGAGUGAAAUUUGGGGAUGGGAGCCUACCUGGAGGCAGCUGGGCCUGUGGGCGGAAAGGAGAUGAGACUGCUGAAGCUCCAGGCCAGGGGGAGUCUCUGGCUCAGUGCCAGGUUCCCGGU
rnacentral:sRNA from 1 species